rnacentral:lncRNA from 1 species
AGCUUUUCUUAGACACUAUUAGUUAGUGGAUAUAAUCACUAGAAAUCACACAAAUUCAAUAUUUAAAAUAACCUAAAUGCAAAUUUAAACGGAUUAACUAAUUUUUGAAUUUUUCGUUUGACCUUUCCGAAUUAGUAACAAUUGAUUACUAAAUUUAAUUCUAGCAAACAAUUAUUGUAAUUAAAAUCUAAUUUAUCAAUUCAAUGAAUUAUAUAUAUUAGAAUUGAUUUAUUUACUUAUUAGAAUAAUUAAUUACUAAUUUUGUAGCAAAUCAAUUAUUGUAAUUAAGAUGUCAAUUC